UUCUGGUCAACAUUAAACUGUGGUCAAUGAAGUUGAUAAGUUGGUCAAGCAAGGACUCGGCUUUUGGUUUCAAGUUUCGUAGUGAAAAAAAUUAUGAUUAAGAUGAGACUGGUUGUCACAUUCUACAAUUAUGGUUGAUCAAAUGUGCCAAAUUAAUUCAUGUUAAGAAGCUGGUUAAAAGUGGAUUAACCAGAUAAUCUGAGUUACCACCUAAAUUAAACUAAUUACCUGGAAAAUGAAUUGAUGGUCUUCUAAAAGUAAAAUUUUGACAAUUGGACAAAUUCACAUCACAAUAACAACAACAAUAAUUGACAGAAAAGGGCAAUUGAUUAUUAUGCUCACAUCAUCAAGAUUAUCACAUUGAGAAGGGGAAAUAACAACAACAACUGAUUACCGGAAACAAGAAAAAAAAACCAACAAUUAAAUUACUCGACUCACAUACAAGUGUGAAUGUGAAAAUUAAAUGUAGAUUAAAAAAAUAUUGUCCUAAAUUGUAUUUAAUCAUACAAUUGUUACGUUUUCUACCUUGAUUGUAAUUGUUAAUAUCUGACCAAAGAAAAGCUAAUUAAGCAAAAAUAAUAAUAAAGUCUGUAAAAAAAAACAAUAAUAAAUUAAAUUACUAAUUUAAAGUGACAAUAAA